rnacentral:rRNA from 1 species
UACGAAGGGGGGCUAGCGUUGUUCGGAAUUACUGGGCGUAAAGCGCACGUAGGCGGACAUUUAAGUCAGGGGUGAAAUCCCGGGGCUCAACCCCGGAACUGCCUUUGAUACUGGGUGUCUUGAGUCCGGAAGAGGUGAGUGGAAUUCCGAGUGUAGAGGUGAAAUUCGUAGAUAUUCGGAGGAACACCAGUGGCGAAGGCGGCUCACUGGUCCGGUACUGACGCUGAGACGCGAAAGCGUGGGGAGCGAACAGG